GUAUUGUUUUAUUUUGUCCUCCUUUAGACAGGAAGUUUUAAAUUCUCCGUGUGGUUCAUAGAGCCACUGAGAGUAUAUAAUAUAUAUAUAUAUCGUAUAAAAUAUUAUAGAAUGCAUAGCUCCAAUAAAGUUAGGUAAACAAGAUAUUUACACAGUAGAAAAUAAUAUGUAACAGUAAUCUGACAGAAAAAACCAACCCUUACACCCCUAUAGAUCUACAUGGUAAAACCCAAAUCAAAGAUAGGACGGGACUACUACAAUAAGUUAGGAUAUAAAAGGUUGACAAGGAUGGACAUCGCUAAAGACCUUCUGAACACUUUGUUAUUGGUUUUCAUGGACAUUUAUUGUUUUAGUUUGACAUGAAUAGCUUAAGGAUAUUAUGGUUGAUAAUUUAAACUUUAAUAAUUCAGAGUUUAUACGUUACCAAUGAAAACAAUAGAUGACAAUAUGUAAAUGGUUCAAUGGAGAAGUCCCCACACCAGACUGUGAUGGUUCAUCAAUCCUAAACCCAAUGUCGGAAGUCAUUUUGAUUUACUUCUUCAAUCUUAUCUAGGACAUGAAAUAUGAAUUGACUCUGAAAUAUAUAUCACCAGUAUUAAUCAUACACCCUGUCUUUUAGAAUUAUUAUCUCUCAUCAUUUGAGACACUUUAUUAAAACUAUGUAAAUGUUGUACUAUACACUAUUAAACCAUCACGAGAUAAAACAUUUCCCUGGGUAACUAUACAUCCUGAUAAAAAUAAGUAACGUUGAUCUUGGUUAGUUGUAACAUUAGGUACUGAUUGUUGGGUUGGCCAGGCUGUAUAGGGACGGUGAAAACUUGAUAUAUGUAACAUUAGGUACCGAUUGUUGGGUUGGCCAGGCUGUAUAGGGACGGUGAAAACUUGAUAUAAUGCCCCUCAUAUGUCUACAUCAUUCACAUUUCAAGGUCUUUUCCUUCUGUUUAAUUUUACAUUUGCCCCACUCUGUCCUAGUCACCCAUCAGGAAAGUUUCCUAGACAAAUAGUGCUUUUAUAAUGUGGAACUGUGACAUCUUAUUAUCAACCGACCAUUUUAAUUAAACGAUUUGUAUUAAGGACAUAUCCUACUUUAUCUUAUUUAGGUGUAUACACUGUUGUAAACACCUCUAAAUAAGUUCCACAUCAGGAGACCUGGUCAAUAUUCAUUCCUACAAUAUUAUAUUUCGGAGUUGUUCCCCCUGGUAAAUACAUGUACUGCUAGGUUGUUUUUUUUCAACCUGAAAUUCAAAAUCAAAAGAUGGCGAAAUGUAACUGGUUUUUACUGGACAAAUUGUGGCAUUAUAACAAGGUUUGACCGGAAAAAUAGUGGCGUUAUAACAAGGUUUAACCGGAAAGAUGUUGGUAUAUUAUAACAAGUUUUUUUUUUUGCGAUACUAUAUUAUUUUAUAGCAGGUAAUUAUAACUGCCCCCUUAAAUUUUACCAAUUACGUACAGGAUAUAUCUACAAUCUCUGUAUAUUGUUGGUAUAUAA